rnacentral:rRNA from 1 species
GACGAACGCUGGCGGCGUGCUUAACACAUGCAAGUCGAACGGAAAGGCCCUGCUUUUGUGGGGUGCUCGAGUGGCGAACGGGUGAGUAACACGUGAGUAACCUGCCCUUGACUUUGGGAUAACUUCAGGAAACUGGGGCUAAUACCGGAUAGGAGCUCCUGCUGCAUGGUGGGGGUUGGAAAGUUUCGGCGGUUGGGGAUGGACUCGCGGCUUAUCAGCUUGUUGGUGGGGUAGUGGCUUACCAAGGCUUUGACGGGUAGCCGGCCUGAGAGGGUGACCGGCCACAUCGGGACUGAGAUACGGCCCAGACUCCUACGGGAGGCAGCAGUGAGGAAUAUUGCACAAUGGGCGGAAGCCUGCUGCAGCAACGCCGCGUGCGGGAUGACGGCCUUCGGGUUGUAAACCGCUUUCGCCUGUGACGAAGCGUGAGUGACGGUAAUGGGUAAAGAAGCACCGGCUAACUACGUG